rnacentral:tRNA from 1 species
AAAGACUUAGGAUAAUGAGACCAAGAGCCUUCAAAGCCCUAAGUAGAAGUUAAAAUCUUCUAGUCUUUG